UGUCACCUUUUGCCCAGGAGAGGGACAAACGACAAGCCGAGCGUUAUCCUGAGAUUUGUAAACAGGAAGCACAAGAUCGCGUUGCUAAAACAGGGAAGGAAGCUAAAAGGAACAAACGUUUACAUGAACGACCAUUUGACCAAACGAAAUGCUGAUAUAGCUCGAAAAGCACGCCAAAUGAGGAGAGAGAAGAAAAUUCUACAAACUUGGACAGCGAACUGUAAAGUAUUCAUUAAACUCAACGGUACUCCAGAGAACGCCAAAGUGCUGGUGAUUAGAAACAUGGAAGAUCUGAACGAAUAUGACGUUUGAACUGGACUGUAAGAUCACGGGCCCUUCCUCUUGUGUCACCAGUCUGACGUCAUCCCGGACCCUUGAUUGUUUCCACCUGUUUCAUCAUCAUCAUGUUCUAUUUAAGCUCAUGCCUCCCCUUGUCCUGUGCCAGAUCGUCUCGAGCUUUCGUGUCAAUAUAGCAUCAAUGUGCAUGUCCAUGUUGCUAUCCGUGCCUUGCCUCUUCCCACGUUUACUUCCUUGGAACAAGAACUCUCUUGCUGUAAUUUUGAAUUUUACUUUUUUCCUCCUUUGAGCAACCUUUGUUAUUCUAGCCUUCGUCCAACCUAUUUUUUUGAGUUUUUGUAUUUUUCUAAAUUCCUUUUCUUCCUCAAAGAUUGAGUGAUUUUUUAUUCAUCUUUAUCGAGUAUUAAUUUAUAGCCCUUUUUGUUCUUCCUCCUGCUGGAGCGCUUUGGGUUAUUUUUUAUAGUAGUUACGACUUUAAUAGUAGUUCGUUCUUUUGUUAGUUUAAUCCUCCUAUUUUUUGGAGUGAUUUUUGGUUUAUCUUUUACCAGAAUUAUUUCCGCGGAUUUUUUGUUAAUCGUAAUACUGUGGCUCUGGAGGUUUUAGAAGUUGUUUCAAAAUAAAAGAUUUAUUAGAACCUCA